AUAGAACGCUGGCGGCAUGCCUUACACAUGCAAGUCGAACGGCAGCGCGUCCUUCGGGAUGGCGGCGAGUGGCGAACGGGUGAGUAAAGCAUCGGAACGUGCCCGGUAGUGCGGGAUAGCUCGGCGAAAGCCGGAUUAAUACCGCAUGAGAUCCGAGGAUGAAAGCAGGGGACCCGCAAGGGCCUUGCGCUACUGGAGCGGCCGAUGUCAGAUUAGGUAGUUGGUGGGGUAAAGGCCUACCAAGCCUGCGAUCUGGAGCUGGUCUGAGAGGAUGAUCAGCCACAUCGGGACUGAGACACGGCCCGAACUCCUACGGGAGGCAGCAGUGGGGAAUUUUGGACAAUGGGCGCAAGCCUGAUCCAGCCAUGCCGCGUGCAGGAUGAAGGCCUUCGGGUUGUAAACUGCUUUUGUACGGAACGAAAAGCCCCCUUCUAAUAAAGGGGGGUGAUGACGGUACCGUAAGAAUAAGCACCGGCUAACUACGUGCCAGCCGCCGCGGUAA
rnacentral:rRNA from 1 species